CCCCGGGUGGCCCGCAGGGCGGGGACGGUCUCGCUGCGCGCGAGGGCGGCGUAGGCGGGCGCGCCGAGGCGUUCGAGGAGCCCGUCCGCGGU
rnacentral:tRNA from 4 species